CUUAGAUCAAAUGUAGAUCAAUUAGUUGAUAGAACAACUAUGGUUCUAAGUUAUUUGGUUUACAUUUAAUGAAUAUCAAUAUGAUAGAAAUGUUGUUACAAUAUGUUUAUUUUAGAAACAACUUUGUAUUGGAGUAUGUAGGAAGAAUGCAUAGCAGGAGAUGUUUACCUUUUCAAUGCAACCUGUCCAACUUUAUAAAUACUGUAAAUACAGAAAUUAUAGCGAGCAUUUAUUAUUGGGAUUUAAUAAUUUUUUACUAAAUUGCGAUUUUCAAUUUUUGGGAUAUUACAAAAAAAAUGUUUAAUUCAUAAAAAAAAUUAUCGAAACGCGAUUAUAACCUUGUCACAUUUUUUGCAAUAAUAAAAACAUCACAAUAUUUACAGAAUUUACAGUACUUUAUGCAAUUUCCUGAAGUUUUUUUGAUAUAUCCCAGAAAAGCAUGAUAUUUAGAUUCAGAACACCACUAAAUUAUUGUUUUUAUUCCACAUGAGAAUACAAAUUUGCGAUUGUGGAUCCGUAUAACUAUUUUGUUUCAUUAAGCAUUGUUGUCAUGUGGAGCACAUACAGUCAUAUAUGUUUCAUUUAAUUGGGAAAUGAAGUAUAUUUUUAGAGUAUUAGAGUGACUAUUCUUUGGUUGUCUAACAAUCAAACCAUGGAUGCUAAUGAAACAUAAAUGUAAUGAGAUUAUGAAAUAAUUUAAUUUUGGAUGUAACUCGUCUUCUGAUUGGCUGAGGUUAUUUUGUUAUCAGCCCAUAGACACAAUUUAGUCAUGUGACAGUGAACUCAUCAACGUUUUUUCUUGGUUUUCUACGGUUUAAAAUGGAAUUUAGAAUUAAAUUAUAAGAAAUGACUGUAAUAUUUUUUCUGUCUAUUCGAAAUAACAUAAAAAAUGUGGUGCACACUGUUAAAUAACCCGCUAUGCCCGUUAUUCAGUGUGCACCAAAUUUUUUAUGUUAUUUCUUCAUACACAGAAAAAAUAUUACAGUCAUUCCUUAAAUAAUACAGGUGUAAGUCAUUACAUGCAAAGUAUAAAUAAUGUAUAUAAACUGCAGCUUCUAUCCUUAUAAGUUACCUUAAAAAAAUAUAAUUCAUUAAGCUCAUGUUUAAAUGCAAUACUAAGUUCACAAUAUAUAGCAAAACACUGUAGCUACCUUGGAACCAUCAUGUGGUCUUUUACUAUAAUAUAACAUCUGUUUGGUUUGAAUAUAUUUUGGUUACAGUAAGAAUUUCAUUUAUCAUACUUUAUGCAAAAUUAUCCAUAAAUAAUGUGACAUUGAGGUUAUUUAUAUAAAUUCAACAAGAGUACUGAAUUUAGGUUUAAAUUUCACCAAUAUAAUAAUGAGGUAAUUUCAAAUUCUGAUUUCACAGUGACUAAAGGAUUUUCAAACAGAAA
rnacentral:lncRNA from 1 species